GACCGAUAGUGAACCAGUACCGUGAGGGAAAGGCGAAAAGAACCCCGGCGAGGGGAGUGAAAAAGAACCUGAAACCGUGUACGUACAAGCAGUGGGAGCCCCACCACUAAGCCAGUGGUGAACUCCACAUACGCAUCCUUUGCUGAGGAUACGGUUAACGGAGCGAAAGCGACGUUCAACCUCAAAAGAAGCAGAGGGGGCUUAGUGGUGGGGUGACUGCGUACCUUUUGUAUAAUGGGUCAGCGACUUAUAUUCUGUAGCAAGGUUAACCGAAUAGGGGAGCCGGAGGGAAACCGAGUCUUAAUUGGGCGUUAAGUUGCAGGGUAUAGACCCGAAACCCGGUGAUCUAGCCAUGGGCAGGUUGAAGGUUGGGUAACACUAACUGGAGGACCGAACCGACUAAUGUUGAAAAAUUAGCGGAUGACCUGUGGCUGGGGGUGAAAGGCCAAUCAAACCGGGAGAUAGCUGGUUCUCCCCGAAAGCUAUUUAGGUAGCGCCUCGUGAAUUCAUCUCCGGGGGUAGAGCACUGUUUCGGCUAGGGGGCCAUCCCGGCUUACCAACCCGAUGCAAACUGCGAAUACCGGAGAAUGUUAUCACGGGAGACACACGGCGGGUGCUAACGUCCGUCGUGAAGAGGGAAACAACCCAGACCGCCAGCUAAGGUCCCAAAGUCAUGGUUAAGUGGGAAACGAUGUGGGAAGGCCCAGACAGCCAGGAUGUUGGCUUAGAAGCAGCCAUCAUUUAAAGAAAGCGUAAUAGCUCACUGGUCGAGUCGGCCUGCGCGGAAGAUGUAACGGGGCUAAACCAUGCACCGAAGCUGCGGCAGCGAACGUAUCACUUAAAGCGAUUCAGCGGGUUACGAUUGACGGAGCGAAGCGACGUCAAAGCGUAUACAAAGUCGAGUCGGUUUAAGGAUACGUUCGUUGGGUAGGGGAGCGUUCUGUAAGCCUGCGAAGGUGGCCUGUGAGGGUUGCUGGAGGUAUCAGAAGUGCGAAUGCUGACAUAAGUAACGAUAAAGCGGGUGAAAAGCCCGCUCGCCGGAAGACCAAGGGUUCCUGUCCAACGUUAAUCGGGGCAGGGUGAGUCGACCCCUAAGGCGAGGCCGAAAGGCGUAGUCGAUGGGAAACGGGUUAAUAUUCCCGUACUUGGUGUUACUGCGAAGGGGGGACGGAGAAGGCUAUGUUGGCCGGGCGACGGUUGUCCCGGUUUAAGCGUGUAGGCUGGUUUUCCAGGCAAAUCCGGAAAAUCAAGGCUGAGGCGUGACGACGAGGCACUACGGUGCUGAAGCAACAAAUGCCCUGCUUCCAGGAAAAGCCUCUAAGCAUCAGGUAACAUCAAAUCGUACCCCAAACCGACACAGGUGGUCAGGUAGAGAAUACCAAGGCGCUUGAGAGAACUCGGGUGAAGGAACUAGGCAAAAUGGUGCCGUAACUUCGGGAGAAGGCACGCUGACAUGUAGGUGAAGUGAUUUACUCAUGGAGCUGAAGUCAGUCGAAGAUACCAGCUGGCUGCAACUGUUUAUUAAAAACACAGCACUGUGCAAACACGAAAGUGGACGUAUACGGUGUGACGCCUGCCCGGUGCCGGAAGGUUAAUUGAUGGGGUCAGCGCAAGCGAAGCUCCUGAUCGAAGCCCCGGUAAACGGCGGCCGUAACUAUAACGGUCCUAAGGUAGCGAAAUUCCUUGUCGGGUAAGUUCCGACCUGCACGAAUGGCGUAAUGAUGGCCAGGCUGUCUCCACCCGAGACUCAGUGAAAUUGAACUCGCUGUGAAGAUGCAGUGUACCCGCGGCAAGACGGAAAGACCCCGUGAACCUUUACUAUAGCUUGACACUGAACAUUGAGCCUUGAUGUGUAGGAUAGGUGGGAGGCUUUGAAGUGUGGACGCCAGUCUGCAUGGAGCCG
rnacentral:rRNA from 1 species